rnacentral:rRNA from 1 species
AAUGAACGCUGGCGGCAUGCCUAAUACAUGCAAGUCGAACGAGACCUUCGGGUCUUUUCUCCUAUGGGUUUGUAACGCGUCGGAACCUGCCCUUAGGUUUGGAAUAACUCUCCGAAUGGGGUGCUAUUACCGGAUAAUGUCUUCGGACCAAUGAUUUAUUGCGCUUGGUUGGGCCAGCGUUGGAUUAGCUUGUUGGUAGGGUUAAAGCCUACUAAGGCGAGGAUUCAUAGCUGGUCAGAGAGGAUGAUCAGCCACACUGCGAGUAAGACACGGCCGAGAAUCCUACGGGAGGGAGCAAAGGGGAAUAUAGGACAAUGGGGGAAGGCAUGAACGAGCAAUGCCGCGAAAGUGAUGAAAGCAUUAAAGAAGAAAAGCUCAAGUACCCGGGAUGAUAAUGACAGUACCGGAAGAAAAAGCUCCGGCUAACUCCGUG